UCUCAUAAAUUAUCCGAGCUCCUGGUUUUGCUAAAUUGAAAUAUAUUGAUACAUUAACUCCUACUAAUUCGGAGGGAUCAAUCUCAUUUUGACUCAUGCACCGACUUAACAAGUACUUGACUGUACCCAGAAACCUUUCAUCGCUGAAUUAUAAAUUCAGAUAGUCCGACACUAAAGUACAGUGAGUUGCUUGUAAGUCAUCGUGGUGAUCUCAGAUUGGAGGGACACUUAUACCCAUACCUUUUACGAGCUACCCUUGACAUCAAAGUGCUUCGCAGUUGGUCACGCUUAGUGACGAUGUACUCUUACAUCUCACCUGUGUGCCAUACCAGUAUCGUCACACCAUUUAGUUACGAGAAUAACCAACGCAUAUG
rnacentral:lncRNA from 1 species